CUGCCUGCCUGCCUGCCUGCCUGCCUGUCUGUCUUUCUUUCUUUCUUUCUUUCUUUCUUUCUUUCUUUCUUUCUUUCUUUCUUUCUUUCUUUCAUAUGAAAUUCCAUCGUUUAACCUGCUUUAUGUUAAUGUUCUUAAUCUUAAUCCAUCUGAUAUAAUCUCAAGGACAGGACUGAGCUGUUAGGAUGCUACAAUGCCACUGAAACAAUUGGGGUUCCUUGUGAUUUAAGUGGUUUUUUAGUGUUCAGGGUUACAGUUUUAUGAAAGCAGGACAGUGAUAAAUGCCUCAGAGUUGGUGGGGUUGGAUACAUGUUGCAGAAAGGGGCAAUGAUUCCUGACUGUGGCAGAGAUCUCAGUUUUGACAAUGGCAAUGAUUUCUAACAGGAUUUUCAAGAAACCCAAGGCGGCUUACAUAUGGUUCUCAGGCAGUUUCCCAUCCAGGCACUGACCAGACCUGACCCUGCUUAGCUUCAGCAGUGAGCUGGCCUUAUGUGCCUUCAGACUAUAGCCUGGAGAUUUCUGUGACCUUGGCUGACUGGCUGCCAGGAUUUUUUAAGUAUCCACAAAUAUUGGAUGGCUAUUAUCUGUCACAAGAAGAGGACUCAGGGGAAGGGUCAAGUUCUCCAUUUGUACCAUGUUGAGAGAAAAAAUGGAAAAUGGACUGCCUUCAAGUCGAUCCCGACUUAUGGCUACCCUAUGAAUAGGGUUUUCAUGCUACAUCUUUCAAGCUGAGGAUUAUGAUGAAAUCCUAUACAUGUCUACUCAGGAGUAAGUCCCAUUGAGCUACCCCCCCACAAAUAUGCUUCCUGGGUGUCCCCAAGGCAGUAGUUGGAAAGUGAUUUUCAUAUGGGCCCCUCUACCUCUGAGCUCUCAGUUCUCAGCCUAAGAAAGGUGAUGAUCAAAAAAAAACUUACUUAACAAACAACAGUGAACAGCUGUUAAGGGUGCAGUGGGCAGCCUUCCCCACCUUCUUGUGCUCAUAGCAAAUCCCAGUUGAGCUUUUAGGAAAUGUGGGCACCCAAGAAGGCUGAAAAGUUCCAAUCACCACCAAAGAGAUGAUUUGCAGAAUGAAAGGACCCUCACACAACAUGCCUCAAGUCACCUUGAAGGACAUUCUUCUACUGAGGAAGUGGAACCCACAUUUUCUUCCAUAUUACCCUCCUCGCAAUGCAGGCACAAUACUUUUUCUUAAGAAGCAGUGGACUCUCUGCUGUAUUAACAACAUUUCUAUCUGAUAUGCUUUGAGGGGACUCUAGCUCAGAUAAUGCGUGCACAGUGACAUCAAGAAACAAGAUACUUUCACUCUAGUUAUAAAACAUACGAUCUAAUGGAAACAGUCAGGCUCGUGCUAUUCAGCCUGCAUUGAGGAGCUGAAGCUAAAUCAGAACCAGAUGAACCUGGUCAAAACUCAACAGAAUUACAGUCAUAAUCUUUACUCGCAACUUCUUGCAUGUGUUAACUAAAUACAGCAUUCAUAUCACCAGAGAAAGCUGAGUAUACAGGCCUAUCCUUAGUCAUUACACUGAAGACCAUCAAAGGCUCUAGGUCCCAGACUGUGCAAUGCAUAGACUGGGCAGUGCAGAAUAGUAUGGUACCUUUUGAGCCAUCCUUCAAAAUUUGCACUUAUUUGAAUUUUGCAGUGCAGUUCGUCAACCAGUGUUUACAAAAAUGCAUAUGUUGGGGGAAAGUUUGCAUAAAAAUGAAUAUGUGAAUGAAAAUAACAUACAAAAUACAAUAUAUAAAGAGAAAUUGCUUGCAAAAUAUGUACAUUAGUCAAAACUGCCUACAAAAUGUGUUUAUUAGGAGAAAUUCACAUUAAAAUGCUGAAGGUUUUUUUUUUUUUUUUUAAAUGCAAUUUGCCACAGAAAUGUGGAGGUGAGACAGGUGCUCUGAGGUCAGAGCACCUGUCAGGUGCAGUGGCAGUUCACACUUGGAGCUGGAGAAAAAAGCAGGAUUUUUUCUGCUGACCUUGUGAUAGAUUUCAAGAUGAAUAGAUUGUGGGUGCUUCCAUGCGUAGAUGAUUUAGUGGCACCCAAACACUGCUAUUCUGUGUUAAGCUGAAGUGAAAUGGCAAACUACCAGACUUGUGGUAAAUUAACAUUUCUCCAACCCAAUUACCCAGCAACUGCCCAAUAGUGGGUUAAUGCCAGGCCUGUUCUCUGUAUGUGUGCAUGCAUGCAUGCAUGCAUAUAUAUAUAUAUAUAGAGAGAGAGAGAGGCUUGUGCAGCUGUCAUUCAUUUCAGUGGAGUUUAGAUGGAGGAAGUUGAUGUAGAUACUGGGUUUUAACACUUUCUUAUAAAUGUGGAAUAAAUAUUGGGCCAAGAAGUGGGGCACAAAUUUAAAAAUAAUGCAAACCAUUAAAACAUAUGGUAUACCUUUUUUGCAUAUUAAACAGUCUCUCAUUCAGGUGCCUACAAAAGGCUGCAGAAUAUUUAUGCAUAAGAACUGAAACCACAACAGCCUUGUAUUUGAACAUGGGAACAAAUCUUUUGCUACAUUAAAAUCUGAAAAUAAAACAUCCCAACAAUUUAUGAGUAGAAAAAUAGAUAACAAGAUCCAAGAAAAUCAGGGUGGAGAGAAUGCAGAGACUAGAGAAAGAAACUUAAAAACAAAUUCCAGAUGUUUAUACUAUAGAACAUUUCAGCAUUAUUUUUAACAAUCUGAUUAUUAUAAUGAAUAUUAAAAAGAAAACAAUGAAUGUUUAUGGCUACCACGAACACUGCAUUGGACUGAAGUUAAAGGGAAUGCAACAAUAUUGUUUGUUGUAUUGUUAUAUUUGAUUCAUUUUUUAAAUCCAGUGUUGGAAAAAGCCACGGAAGCUCGCAGAAUUUAGGAUUGGUCUGCAAAGAUAUCAAAAAAUCGGGAAAUCUGUUGCCAAGUUCAAUUUUAGCAAAAUUCUUGCCCAUCCCUAGUCCUCCCCACCCCACCACAAUUUGUUAUUCAGUUUUUUUAGCUUUUCCAUUUGUGUUGCAAACAGUUAAACAGUUGCAAACUGUUGUAAGCAGUUACUAAUGUUAUAUAUUUAUAAAUGUGGCAUACUAAUGAAACUUACCUUUUUACUUGUCUAAUGUCAGAUGCAUAUAUGACCGGCUGUAGCCCCGCUUCAUGCAUGAAUCAUGUGAUUGAAUCAACUGACAUGAUUAUUGAGGACCCAGGCAUUAGUAUGGACUUCUGCACUGAAAAAUACUAUGCAUUGGCUUCCGUGCAUCUGAGAUGCGUGAUCACACAGCUGCUUGUGAAUCAGCUUCCAUGUGACCGGGACUCCUGAUCACACAGUUGCUCACACAUAGGCUUUACAGUGCAGAGAUCCAGCUAAUGCAUGGGAUGUCUGGAGGUAGGGCCAGCGGUAGCAUGAUAUUGGGAGUCGUGCCAGCCGCAUGACUCAUUGGUGUAAUUCUCCUUGCACAGGGGCUUGUUUAAUGGUUCCUGGUUGCCAACUUCUUUUAACUUGCCCUGUUUCUGUAACACAGGCAUGGGAAUUCUAUGACCCUCCAGACGUUGCUGGACUACAAUUCCCAUCUUCCCUUACCAUUGGCCAUGCUAUCUGGGGCUGAUGGGAGCUGGAGUCAAAUAACAUCCUGAAGGCCACAGUUUCCCCACACCUUCUUGAACAGCUCCCUACCAUGCUGAAAUGUAGCUGGUGAAAUUUGUCCUGGAGAGAGUUAAUGUAAUGGGGAAAAACUUUGCCUGCUCUGUUUUGACAUUGGAGUAAGGCCAGUAAAAAAAAAAAGGGGGGGGAGUUAAUAAUCCUAGGACUCAAGAUUGCAGCAUCACCACCAAGGUGUAUUGUCCCUCCAAAACUCACAUUCCAAGGCUGAAGGACUGCACAACAUACAGCUAAUCACAUUUGGCGGCCUUUACUGGGUCAGGGCCUAUGUGAUUUAUGCAGUGAAUUUGUGAACUGAAUCCACUGUGAACCUGAAGUCUAGUUCCAGGAAAUAUGUGGCCAUGUGCUUAUGUUUAUCUAUGAAUUUGUGUCCGUAAUUAUAAUAUUUAAAUGAAAGUACAUACAGUGUAAUUAAACAUCAGGCAAAAUCAGCUCCUAUAAAAACAAUGUUUUCAAUUAACUGUGAAUUUAUUAUUUCACAUAAGAGCCUUGUGACUCAAAUGGUCAACACCCUGAAGACUCAAAAUGCUUCCAAACCCAGCAUUUGAAGCCUUGAAUAUUUCUGGCAUUCUCUGGAUAUCCUUCCAUAUGUGUCAACUCAUGAAAUGCUUUCGGACGGCGGGGAACUCUUACAUGUCUCUUGAGGUACAGUUCGUUCUUAAGAAGAAUUGUUUUUCACUUUGAUGGAAAUUAAGAAGCUUUGUUUAUUUGUUGAUCUCUUUGA